rnacentral:lncRNA from 1 species
ACUAUCUUAAGUUAUUAAUAAGGAAGCCUUUGGUUUGGAUUAUUCUGGCAUGCAAUUUUAUCAAAAUUAUUAUAUUUGGUUCAUCCGGUAUAUAAUCUGUUCGGUAUUAUAGCAUUAUAAGAGAGAUAAAAUUACACCAAAAAUAUUACCGAGGCGGGGUGUGUAUUUUGGAUUUCCAGAGGCGACUAAUCUUACAUAUUAUAUAAAAUUACAAGUUUAUUCCUCCAACUUCUGAAACUCUUUUAAUACAUCAUUUUAAAAAUUUUAAUUUAAAAUUUUAAAUUGUCAACUUUUAAAUUUUAAAUUUUAAAUUCUAAUUUUUAAUUUUUAAAUUUAAAUUUUUAAUUUUAAAACUUCAAAUUUCUUUCAAAUUUUUAAAUUUUAAAUUUUAAACUUUAAACUUUAAACUUUAAAUUUAAAAUUUAAAAUUUAAAAUUUUAAAAUUUUAAAUUAUUUAAAAUAUAAUUUAGUAAAAAAAUAUUAUUUUUAAACAAUAAAAAAUUUUGUAAAAUAUGGCUAAGAGCAAUUUUGAAAUAGACUAUAUUUUAUUGUCAAGAUUACUAAAUUUUAUAAACUGAACCAAAUAUAAAUAUUAUAAACACUGUAAUCCAACGUUACAUUACUGUAUUAAAUCAAACGUGUUAAUACAGUAUCAGUAGUAAUCUUAUUGAGAAAUUCAAAAUAUCUGAAUAUAUCAAAAUACUUUAUAAUAUUACAGAACCAAAAACGGCGUUAGUAAUGUUACACAUACACUCCUAAAAAAGGUAUAUGAUAUACACCAACCUAUCCUC